UGCCUUAGACAACUGAGGGCACACUUAAACAAAGUUAGUGCCUUAGUUGUUUUUCAUGUCUGAGAGAAAAACCCCAAGCUUUUCUUCACUUCGAGCAAAACCUGGAGCUCUGCUCACCAUCUUCUCAAAACAUUUAGCCAUCACAAAUCACCAUCUUUUAAGUCUGGAUUAUGGUUCUACUCGAUUAGAGUUCGAUUUGGGGGUUUUUCGUUCUGCUGAAAAUGGGGAUUGGGUUCUCACAAAUCGAGUUGGGUUCAACUCGAUUAGGGUUCGAGUUGGGUUCGAUUUAGGGAUUCUUCGUUCUACUGAAAAGGGAUUGAGUUAUCACCAAUCGAGUUGGGUUUGAGUUAAAGGAGGAGGAAAGGGUGUUUUCACGGGUUUAGGGAUUGGUGCUCAAAUCCAUUUGAUUGGUUUUACUCCGUCUGGGUUGGAAGAGCAUUCGUUCUACUGAAAGUUAGGGUUAUUAGAUUUGGGGGUUUGACGAGUGGUAAACUGAAAGCAGAGGAGGCACCCAAGAACAUUGAGCACCAAAUCGAAGGGACCCAGAAUGAUACGCUCCAUUAUGGUCUUAAUAGAGUCAAAAGCAACCUUGUUGGCUUUCACCCAGUCGAAUCUGCUCACCAAUUGGCGUAGAAGAUGCAAGAGGAGAUGGAAAGGAGAAUCUUGGCUUGCGUGGUUGCAGAUUUUAUAGGCCUACUGGAGCCAUACCUUCUUCAAUGUUAGGAUUGGAGACUCUAACAUGAGACUUGGAUUACUUUGGUCCUUAAAAUUACAUGAAUGGUAAGUUAACUUUGAUGGUCUUUUCCAUGUCAUGAAACAUUCUCAGAAUCUCUCCGGAUAUGUACAACAUUCUAGUAGUUUAUUACAAGGCUCACAUACAAUUAAGACAAAAGGAACAGAUUCUUUGUUGGUCUUUAAUUACCUGCAGAUUACAAAUAACAUGCUUUGUUGGUCAGUAGCACAUUUCAGUACCCAUUUCACUUUCCUGAUCGACACGAAUGAAGAAGAAACUCAAAUUUUCAAUGGUUGCAAAUUUCAGAGGCCUACUGGAGCCAUACAUUCUUCAAUGCAGGUAUUCCAACUCAUAUAUGUUGGAAUUCUCAC